ACAGCUGAACUUGGGGGAAGUAGAAAGAAGUUUUCCUGCAUGGGGCAAGGGUGUGAGUUGAGGCCAUUAGAACAAAGUAGAGAAAUAGGCAAGGGCCAGACCAGGUGUGACAGACAGGAAAAUCGUUGGAAAAUCCACCUCCAGGACCUAAACUCAACAUACCACCUGUAUUCGGUGAUCUUGUUUUAAAAAUUCCCCAUAGUUCACCAGAUAAUAUUUGAGUGUCAGGACUUCAGGGAUAGUGGAUGCCUUUAUUAAUGUAAAAGUGUUAGUAGCUCAGUCAUGUCCAACUCUUUGUGACCUCAUGGACUGUAACCGGCCAGGUUCCUCUAUCCUUGGGAUUUCCCAGGCAAGGUUAUCAGAGGGGGUUGCCGUUUCUUCCUCCAGGGGAUCUUUCCAACUGAGAGAUUGAACCCAGGUCUUCUACAUUACAGGCAGACUCUUUACAAUCUGAGCCACCAGGGAAGCCCCUUUCAUUAGCAUAUUUCUUGGUAUUUUAUGCACAUCCUGGCAAGAUUAACAUAUCAUCUUCUGUGAGGAGAGAGAGCUAUGAACUUAGGAUCAGUCUGAUCUUUGAAAUAAGUUGUAAAGAAUUUUUUUUUUAAUGAGCACCCAAGAGCUUUUGUAUAGCACCUGCUUCCAGUUCUAAUUUCAUGCCAAAGCACAUUACCAAGAUUCAGUAUUAAUGGCCAGUAUUAUUUAAUUCCAAGUACUUAAAAAAGAAAGACCAAAUACAGAGUGCUUACUGUAUGCCAGGUGUUGUUCUAAGCAUUUUNNNNNNNNNNNNNNNNNCAGUGAUCUAACAACACAAUGAGAGGUAGGCACCAUCAUUAUCCCUACUUUGCGAAUGAGGAAACAGUAGUUGAGUAAUUUGCCUGAAGUUACAAAGCUGCUAAGAGGUGGAGCUGGGAGCUGGAUGGGGGCAUCUUACUCCAGAGAUGCUGGACAAUGUCUUUAAUUAUCAUUUAUCUACUCUUUCAGUUUACUGUUUUUUUUCCCCCAAAAAAUAAAUUGUUAGACAAGUUUUGAAAUUCUUUUAGCCACUUGUUUAAUCAGCAUCACAGCAUAUUUUAUAACUUUUNNNNNNNNNNNNNNNNNNNNNNNNNNNNNNNNNNNNNNNNNNNNNNNNAUUGUGGUUCUCAGCCCUGAUUUAGAAUUACCUAGGGAGACUGUUUUAUUUUUUAAAUUGUUUUUGGCCUGAAUCCUACCCCCAGAGAUUCUGAUUUAGUUUGUUUGGGUGAAGCCUGGACAUAGUAUUUUGAAAACUCCCCAGGUGAUUCUAAUAGUUAUCCAGCGUUAAGAACCACGGAGAUAGAUGGAUCGUUUAUUGAUUACUUUAGGCACUGUGCUAUGCAUUCUACACAUCAUUUUACACAUUCUGUCGACAACCUGAUUACAUAGGUAUUAUAAUUAUUUGUAUUUUACAGAAGAAGAAAAUUGAACAGC
rnacentral:lncRNA from 1 species